GGGGGCGAUCGGUUUCGACGUGGGGACUGAAGAACAUGUCUGCGUGCGGUAGCGCCCGAUCUACUUGAAAAUUGGGCAAACGUUAGUUGCGAACGAUAACGCACUCGCUUUCGCUGCGUAAAAACCAGUGAAGCCGUUGAAGGGUAAGAUUGUCUUGGUAGCCUGGAAACGUCAUCACUAAGACUGGCCACUGUCCUGGGUUUCUUGGGGGCAGAGGUGAGAUCCUCGAGAAACUAGGUCGCCGCCGAAUCAGCGAACCGUGUCGGUGAGGUUUAUCGACUACGCACGUGAAUGAGGGCAGUUUGGACGCCUCGCGGACCCGGGUUCGAUUCCCGGCGCCUCCACCA
rnacentral:tmRNA from 1 species